rnacentral:lncRNA from 1 species
CAGGAUGGCUACAGGGGCCUGGAUUUGGGUAUUUGCCUUCCCUCAGGUUUGUUAGGAUCUGAUAAAAUCCUAGUAGGGUUAGGCUUUGGUAAAAUAGUUUCUCUUGAGGACAGGCCUUGUUAAGAAGAACAGAAUGUUCUGGAGUAUUUCAAAAUUACACCUUUACUUUACUAUUCCUCUCCCUCUUACCAUUACUUUUCCCUCUUCCUGCUGGAAGCCCAAGGAGAUUUUUCUCUGAUGUUCACUGUGAGAACUCGGAGGAACUCCUGGAGGUAAAGUGUAGGCAUCCCCCUUGCAAGUGGGCCCUCCUGGAGCUUUAACUCCCAGACUUGUCCACACGGAGCCUCCAGCAAUUCAUCAACUACAGUUCAGGUUUUUCUAGCCUGGUAUUUGUUCCUGCACAGAUUUCUUUUUAUGAGUUUCUGCUCCUGUAAGUUGAUUCUCUGUAUCCUCCUGUCUAGGACUACUGGUUUGCUCUGCAAAUUUAAUUUUCUAACAAAUCUAAGAAGAGGUACUGAUUUUUGUUUUGUCAAGUUUUAACUUGUUAGGACAGAGUGAUGACUCCUAAGGUCCUUAUGUGCUAGAUGGGGCAAGCUUCUUUUUAUUUCAAAGGCUUUUCUAAUUUUCUCUUAAGGCAUUAUACAUUGUGAUUACUUGCUCUUGUGUUCCUUAUAGUAUAAUAUUUAUUCUUGAAUAAUGUAUUUUAAAAUUUGAAUUCUUUGCUGAAUUGCGUCACUUCAAUUUUUUUUAUCUUUUUGUUUUUCUCUUUUCUCAAAUAGGAAGUACUGUCAUUCUGACAGCAGGUUCACCCAAAGGGUACACCUUGACUUUGUAAUAGUAUCCCUGACUGUUCUGUUAAAUUUCAAAAUGAGAAAACUCUUUUUCGUCUAUUGACAGAUAAUGUGCACCCAAAUUAAGUGUGAGUGGGGGUCUGACUGUAUGUCUAAAGUGUACAGGCAGAGAUGAAUGUGUGUGGCUUUAGCAGAUCCACACUCAUCCAGGGAUAACUGGACCAUGGGGGCAGGGUGGGAGUGGAGAGAAGUCAUCAUAGGAUGGUAAUCAGGUGCUUGCAGGGAGAAGAGAAGGAAAAGCAGAUGAGUGAACAAGGGCAGAUGGUGCUGGAGAAUUCCAUCAAGUGGGCAUCAAGAAGGGACUGGAGGUUAAAACCUUUGGGAUAAAGAAGAAGAAAAAAAGACAAGCUGGUAAAAAAUGGCACCUGGGCACUGUUUGCUGGGCACAAACAUGGCACUGUUUCCUAGGAGAUGAUUCCUCCAGUUCUUUAAGGUAGUAAUGAAUGACAACAAGAAGUUACUUCUCUAUGCUACACACGGUGUAGAAUCCAGAGCCUGACUGGCUGUGACGCGCCCAUGGUGACACCAAGGGGACUCUGCAUGGGCACAUCCCGGCCCUCCUCCCUGCAUGUUCUCCAAGCCAGGUCUUUGAAACCUCCAGUGAUGGGAAUGACAGAAUCUGGGAUGAUUUUCUUCUGUUUCUUAUCUAAAAAAACAACAAAAAGCUCAGCAUACACGGACUCACACAAACCUUUUGCUAGAGGCAGCUCUGUAGACUUAAGACGCUGUCAUUUUUCAGAAGAACCCAGCUUGCUUUGGAACUACAGUCAGCCCUGCAACCCACCCUCACCUUGGACCCUGCUGCUGCUGUCUGUAAAGGGUCUGGAUGAAGGAAGGGAGCCUCCAGCUUGUCGGCUGUACUUGCCCAGAAUUUAGCCUUUGCAACAUGGAGCUGCGGGGAUGGGAAAUGUUGUCCACUAGCCUUCCACAAUGCUGCGAUGAAUACACCUGUGCAUUCUUUUUUAGAACAAGUGUAAGAAUUCCUAUGUGGCUGGACGGUACUGCUGCCAUCUCGGCUCACUGCAACCUCC